GAUGAAGAACGCAGCGAAAUGCGAUAAGUAAUGUGAAUUGCAGAAUUCAGUGAAUCAUCGAAUCUUUGAACGCACAUUGCGCCCGCCAGUAUUCUGGUGGGCAUGCCUGUUCGAGCGUCAUUACAACCCUCAGGCCCCCGGGCCUGGCGUUGGGGAUCGGCGGAGCCCCCCGUGGGCACACGCCGUCCCCCAAAUACAGUGGCGGUCCCGCCGCAGCUUCCAUCGCGUAGUAGCUAACACCUCGCGACUGGAGAGCGGCGCGGCCACGCCGUAAAACACCCAACUCUUCUGAAGUUGACCUCGAAUCAGGUAGGAAUACCCGCUGAACUUAAGCAUAUCAAUAAGCGGAGGA
rnacentral:misc_RNA from 1 species